UACGUAGGGGGCAAGCGUUGUCCGGAAUCAUUGGGCGUAAAGCGCGUGUAGGCGGCUCGAUAAGUCUGCUGUGAAAGUCCAAGGCUCAACCUUGGGAUGCCGGUGGAUACUGUCGAGCUCGAGUCCGGAAGAGGAGUGUGGAAUUCCUGGUGUAGCGGUGAAAUGCGCAGAUAUCAGGAGGAACACCAAUGGCGAAGGCGGCACUCUGGGACGUGACUGACGCUGAGACGCGAAAGCGUGGGGAGCAAACAGG
rnacentral:rRNA from 1 species